UGGAGGUGGAUCUCUUCUCUCUGGAGUGCAAGAAAAUGUACAAUGUAUGUCAGCCACCUCCAGAAAUGCUGCAUGGCAAACACACUCCAAACCACAAGGAUGACUGUUCUCCUGGACAGGAAGUGUUCUAUAGCCCGGCUAUGAUCUCAGAUUGUCUGCUUCUCUGUGCUGCACAUCCCAGGGAGACUGGAGCCCGGCAGACCCGCAAUGUGCCCAUACUCUCUGAAAUUUUCUGUCCAAAUCAACCUGAUAUCCUUAGUUGGAGACACAGAAGAAAACCUCUGGAAGUCUUUCCUUUUGGAAAAGAAGUAACUUACAUGUGUGACCUGCAUCUAGAAAGGGAUGGACUUCAGCCCCACUGGGGAGAGCACCAUCUGCAGCACCAGUGACAGUCAGGGGAGAGGAAUCUGGAGAGGUCCUGUCCCUCAUUGCACACUUCCAGCUUAGUGCUCACUACCCCACAUUCCAAAAGGCUUCAGAAUAUCUAAACAAGACUCUCCAAAUUUCCGUAAUUACAAGGUCACUGUAAUGCCCUAGGUCAUUUCCAAUUUGCCAAAUUGAAUAUCUAAACCAAUGAAACAGAGUUUCCCAUUGGGACAUCAUUAAUGUAUGAAUGCUACCCUGAGUACCACAGGAAAUCAUUCUCUAUCAUGUGUCUACAAACUCUCACAUGGUCAAGUGCCAAAGAUGUCUGUAAAUAUGCAGGUCUAGGUGAUGUCAAGAACUGAUGGAUCUCAUGAUUCAAGACAGAGUUUUGGAUUUUAGUUAAUUCUUAGGAUUAAAAAUUUUGUUUUGUUUUAAAGUGAACCACUGCCCCAGUAUGAAAAUUAAAUCUUCUCCUGAGACCAGGGCUUUUGAAAU